rnacentral:ncRNA from 2 species
AAAUAAUCAUGUAACUGGCGGAAAUGGAGUUUACCAUAGGGAGCAUGAUUAAAAAAGAUAUCGACCGCCUGGGUAAAUUAU